GCCCCGUUCGUCUAGCCGUCGCCCUCUCACGGCGGUAACACGGGUUCAAAUCCCGUACGGGGUA
rnacentral:tRNA from 1 species